GUGCUUGUUUCAGCAGCACAUAUACUAAAAUUGGAACAAUACAAAGAAGAUUAGCAUGGCCCCUAGGCAAGGAUGACACACACGUUCAAGAAGCGUUCCGUAUUUUA